UACGGAGGGGACUAGCGUUGUUCGGAAUCACUGGGCGUAAAGCGCACGUAGGCGGAUGUGUCAGUCAGGGGUGAAAUCCCGGAAGCUCAACUUCGGAACUGCCCUUGAUACAGCACGUCUUGAGUCCGGAAGAGGUGGGUGGAAUUCCUAGUGUAGAGGUGAAAUUCGUAGAUAUUAGGAAGAACACGGUGGCGAAGGCGGCCCACUGGUCCGGUACUGACGCUGAGGUGCGAAAGCGUGGGGAGCAAACAGGG
rnacentral:rRNA from 1 species